rnacentral:tRNA from 1 species
GAUAUGGUAGUCUAUAGAAGAUUCUAAAUUGCAAAUUUAGAGAAUAUUUUUAAUUAAUACUUUAUUU